CCAUUCAACCAACUGACAGCAUUGAACUCUCCUGCUUAUUUACAGCAGCAACAACUACUACCAUUCAGCCAGCUAGCUGGUGUGAGCCCUGCUACCUUCUUGACACAACCACAGUUGUUGCCGUUCUACCAGCACGCUGCGCCUAACGCUGGCACCCUCUUACAACUGCAACAAUUGCUGCCAUUCAACCAACUUGCUUUGACAAACCCAGCAGCAUUCUACCAACAACCCAUCAUUGGUGGUGCCCUCUUUUAGAUUUCUUAUGAGUUAUAGUUCAAUAAUAAAGUUUUUUGUCUGAUGUUUGUGGCUUCCCAGAAAUAAGAAAGUACAUUUCUAGAUUCUUAUGUGCUUCUAGUCUCCAAAUGUGGUUGAUAGUUAUUUUGCUCUAAGAUCAACAGUAAUGAAGUAUAAAUCAUCGUUGUGGUGUGCUACUCGGUUAAUUGAGCAUUAACACACACAAACAUGACGAGGAUGGUAUAAUCUCCAAAAAUGUGUACUUUGUUAGGUGGGACCCUAUAGCCUUGAUUAAUGUGCUAUGUUAGGCAUGCCUGGAAACGUGUGACGCAUAUGUUUUGUGAACCUGUUGAUAUUAUAUGUGCUUUUAUAUUACCAUAUUUUAUUAAAAUACUAAUAUUUAUUACUAGUAAGAUAUAACAUUCUAUCUAGCUUAAAAACUAACCAUAAAUAUUCCAUAAUAACUAGAUUUACCAAACUAAUAUACUAAAUAUACAUAAUAAAUACAAAAUUAACAAGACAAUAAUCAAUAUUUAUGAGCUUAAUAUAUUUAGACAUUAUGGUUGGUCGACGAUAAUCAUGCUAACUUUUCGUAAUUGCUUGAUUGUAAAUAUGCUUAGAAUAAUGCCUCUUUGUUCUACAUGGCAAAUAGGGACCAUUAUGGUGUAACACCCUGGGAACCACAAACACCCCGAAAUGCUACUAAACUACACAACUAACCUUCAUAUAUAAAAUUUCGACAGCAUCUCCUUUGAAAAUUUGCAUAGACGUGGAAGCAACAGAGUAUAAACAGAUAUCAUGAUAAGAAAACAUACUAGACAUUAAUAAUCUGCUAGAAAUGGGAAGAUAACCAUAACGACAUAAACUGAAUUAACUAGUGUGCACAACUUGUUAAAAACAAACAUCGUUGACAAGAAGUUUCUAAUUAAAUCAUGGUUGUGCCUGGGCAGCGUUAUUAUGAGAGUGAAGGUGGACGUGAUGCUACUUCCCUCAUUCCCAACAUGAAUCAAGUACCUGCAUUGAGCAAUGCAAGAGUGAGAUGAAAACAUCUCAGCAAGUAAAUUGUUUUGACGAGAUAUUUAAACCAAAAAAAUUUGAUUUACUCAACAUUUUAAAGGGAUCACAAUUGAGAUCAGAAAUACUUGUAGAUAUAGAACUCAAUAGUCCCAAAAUAACCAGUGCCAUCUCAUUUCCUCAAACAACCACAAUAGGUUGUAUAACACUUCCCUGCGUCAUCAAUACCUGCAAAUAUCACUUCAAUGUAUGCAUAGGAAUGCAAUGUUUAAGUCCUCUGCAUUCAUACUUCUUAGAGUAUAAAACCACACCAUCUGCAAAUAUCACUUCAAUGAAUGCAUAUGAAUGCAAUGCAUAUGUCCUCUGCCUUCAUACCUCUAAGGGUAUGAAGCCGAAUCGUACCCCUCCUCGGGCAACGUACGAUGCUAAGUUGUACCGGUACGGUCGGACCAUAGGUCACGACAAAACUUCAUAUGCAAGUGAAUCAUGACAUGUAUAUGGCUUGCUGCAUUUAUCAAUAUACUUCACUUCCUUCAUAUACAAUACAAACCUCAAAUAAUACUUCGUUUACCUUCAGAUACAAUACAAACCUCAAAUAAUACUUCAUUCACCUUCAGGGGUGUUUAUUAAUCUCGUGGGUCAUACUCGAAUCAUCAUCAUCAUCAAUGAUGAUUAAGCAUCAGUAUAAUACAAUCAAGUAAAGCAUCACCAUAGAGUUCAAUUAUGAAAGAAUUCGAUGAUUCUGAAUAUUAGAGUGUAUGCGAUGAAACAACAACGUCAAAACGGUAGCAACCACCGCUACAUUCAUUUGCCUUCAUCGAAGAAGAAAAAUGUACUAGGCAUGAUUCAGAGUGUAGACACCUGCUGUGGGGCUUAAAACUUAGUACAAAUAUUCCACAAACAUUUGCCAACAAUUAACAAAUCGCUCCUACACUUGAAACCAAGACCCGGUGGAAUGACUCCCACCCUGAACCACAUGCCAAACAAUAGUAGUGCUGUUUGUUAAUUUUGUAUCUUUAAAAUUAUAACAGUGGUGAUAUCAAACAAAUACUCUAGAAGUUUCUACACAAAAUACUCUACAACUUCGGUAUUCAAUGGAUAAUUAAAUUUUGCCAUCUAUAAGUUCUAAAACAUCUGAUAAGAUAACUGACUGAAUUUGUUUCAGACAGCAGCAUAGUUAACUUCAAAAUUCGAUAUCUCCCAAACUCCUCAACCAAAAAUUAUGAAAUUAUGCUGACAGUAAGAACUUUUUGUCCCUCUACAAAAGUAUCUAUAGUUGGAAGAGCCAAUUCGGCCAUUUACUAGAUGAAACCUACCAGUUAACAGACCCGCUCAUUUUUGUCAGGCAAACAAGAACCCUUAUAUAUCAAAGAGUAGUGGAUUUGAAUUUGUCUAAUAUGAAGUUUAUGGGCUUGGAUCAUUUAAAGUAUUUUAUAAUUCUGAAAGACAAGAUUAAACUAACUAUGUAUGAUCCUUUAGCACCGUACAGAUGGUCGAUGGGACAGUUACAUGGUUUAUAUAGAUGGACCUAUCUAUAUUCCUUCAGUGGUUGAGAAAAAGGUAAAGGUGUGUCACACUCACGUGUGCGCCGCCUCUGCCGAGAUGAGGCAUGGCGUUGCAAGGUGAGGCAUGGCAUGGUGCAGCACGAUCGCAGUCAUGGUCGUGGCACAGUGUAGCACUGUUGUGGAUAGAUAGAUAAACUAUUGUUGUAGUUAGAGUGCAUGAGUUUUUGAAUGCAACACUAGGAUUUUCACAAUUUAACUUAAUUAAGAAGUUAUAUCUUGAUGACACAGAGUUACCUGACCAUUGAUCUCACAUGCCCUUUUAGCUCUCUUGUUCUCUAGACUCACCCUGACUAUUGAGGUCUCUUGACUCGCCAAUAUAAACACCAUCCUAUCAUUUGCUCUCGAAUACUUUUGUGUCACAACUCAACUGUCAGAUGAGUACUCCAUUACAGCACUGAGCAGGCCUCCGAAAUGAAUAUCUACUCAGAUGAAGGACGACAAUCGUGUUCUAGGGAAAUAUCAGUGACACAACUCCUUACUUCCUCUGCUUCUUCCUAGUGUUUUUUGUUGUGAUUGAGUCGACACAGCAACAACACUGCACUAUUACAACCAGUACGACUAUAUUAACUAGCAAUGUCUUCCUUAUAUGUUACUAUUUAUUUUGCUCAUAUUCAUUAUGUUUAAAUCACAUAGGCACCUUUUUGUUGGCAUCAAAAAAUUAGUAUCAACUUUCUAGAUUAAAGUGAAACUAAAAGUACCUAAAUUUCUAUCGGUGGGGAUCGAGUGAUUCUUUAAACCGAUUAUUACACAAGUGAACCACACUAAAAUUAACAUUGGUGAAUCGUGCCAUGAUUUUUUCUAGUGGAAAAUAGCCAAACCAAGCAACACAUAUGUGGCUAUCGUUACACAUGUGUAAAGGUAUUGCAUCACACCAUUGUCACCCAUGUAUUUGGACAAUACCGAGAGGAAAAACCACUUAUUUAUUGUAUUUUAUCAAGUUUGUCUUGCUUACGUAUAAAUUAUAACCCAACAAAGUAAUCACUAAAUGUCAAAACCAACUAGAUACCAUGUCAUCUCUACCUUAUCUUACUAAUAUUCUUUUUGCAAAAUCCAAAAUUAAUCUUGCACAAGCACAAGGACUGAGAUGUGUAUAAAUAUCUCUUAAAUUAGUAGCUAAUAUAUCACACAUAUUAUUGAGACCAACUAGCAACAUAGAAAGCACAAUAGUGUACCAACAAUGGCAGCCAAAAUAUUUUGCCUCCUUAUGCUCCUUGGUCUUUCUGCAAGUGCUGCUACGGCGACCAUUUUCCCACAAUGCUCACAAGCUCCUAUAGCUUCCCUUCUUCCCCCGUACCUCUCACCAGCGGUGUCUUCGGUAUGUGAAAACCCAAUUCUUCAACCCUAUAGGAUCCAACAGGCAAUCGCAGCUGGCAUCUUACCUUUAUCACCCUUGUUCCUCCAACAAUCAUCAGCCCUAUUACAGCAGUUACCUUUGGUGCAUUUAUUGGCACAAAACAUCAGGGCACAACAACUACAACAACUUGUGCUAGCAAACCUUGCUGCCUACUCUCAGCAACAACAGUUUCUUCCAUUCAACCAACUAGCUGCAUUGAACUCUGCUUCUUAUUUGCAACAACAACAACUACCAUUCAGCCAGCUAUCUGCUGCCUACCCCCAGCAAUUUCUUCCAUUCAACCAACUGACAGCUUUGAACUCUCCUGCUUAUUUACAGCAGCAACAACUACUACCAUUCAGCCAGCUAGCUGGUGUGAGCCCUGCUACCUUCUUGACACAACCACAAUUGUUGCCGUUCUACCAGCACGCUGCGCCUAACGCUGGCACCCUCUUACAACUGCAACAAUUGCUGCCAUUCAACCAACUUGCUUUGACAAACCCAACAGCAUUCUACCAACAACCCAUCAUUGGUGGUGCCCUCUUUUAGAUUUCUUAUGAGUUAUAGUUCAAUAAUAAAGUUUUUUGUCUGAUGUUUGUGGCUUCCCAGAAAUAAGAAAGUACAUUUCUAGAUUCUUAUGUGCUUCUAGUCUCCAAAUGUGGUUGAUAGUUAUUUUGCUCUAAGAUUAGCAGUAAUGAAGUAUAAAUCAUCGUUGUGGUGUGCUACUCGGUUAAUUGAGCAUUAACACACACAAACAUGACGAGGAUGGUAUAAUCUCCAAAAAUGUGUACUUUGUUAGGUGGGACCCUAUAGCCUUGCAGAAUGUGCUACGUUAGGCAUGCCAAUGGAAACGUGUGACACAUACGUUUUGUGAAUCUGUUGAUAUUAUAUGUGCUUUUAUAUUACCAUAUUUUAUUAAAAUACUAAUAUUUAUUACUAGUAAGAUAUAACAUUCUAUCUAGCUUAAAAACUAACCAUAAAUAUUCCAUAAUAACUAGAUUUACCAAACUAAUAUACUAAAUAUACAUAAUAAAUAUAAAAUUAACAAGACAAUAAUUAAUAUUUAUGAGCUUAAUUUAUUUAGACAUUAUGGUUGGUCGACGAUAAUCAUGCUAACUUUCCGUAAUUGCUUGAUUGUAAAUAUGCUUAGAAUAAUGCCUCUUUGUUCUACAUGGCAAAUAGGGACCAUUAUGGUGUAACACCCCGGGAUCCACAAACACCCCGAAAUGCUACUAAACUACACAACUAACCUUCAUAUAUAAAAUUUCGACAGCAUCUCCUUUGAAAAUUUGCAUAAACGUGGAAGCAACAGAGUAUAAACAGAUAUCAUGAUAAGGAAACAUACUAGACAUUAAUAAUCUGCUAGAAAUGGGAAGAUAACCAUAACGACAUAAACUGAAUUAACUAGUGUGCACAACUUGUUAAAAACAAACAUCGUUGACAAGAAGUUUCUAAUUAAAUCAUGGUUGUGCCUGGGCAGCGUUAUUAUGAGAGUGAAGGUGGACGUGAUGCUACUUCCCUCAUUCCCAACAUGAAUCAAGUACCUGCAUUGAGUAAUGCAAGAGUGAGAUGAAAACAUCUCAGCAAGUAAAUUGUUUUGACGAGAUAUUUAAACCAAAAAAAUUGAUUUAAUCAACAUUUUAAAGGGAUCACAAUUGAGAUCAGAAAUACUUGUAGAUAUAGAACUCAAUAGUCCCAAAAUAACCAAUGCCAUCUCAUUUCCUCAAACAACCACAAUAGGUUGUAUAACACUUCCCUGCGUCAUCAAUACCUGCAAAUAUCACUUCAAUGUAUGCAUAGGAAUGCAAUGUUUAAGUCCUCUGCAUUCAUACUUCUUAGAGUAUAAAACCACACCAUCUGCAAAUAUCACUUCAAUGAAUGCAUAUGAAUGCAAUGCAUAUGUCCUCUGCCUUCAUACCUCUAAGGGUAUGAAGCCGCAUCGUACCCCUCCUCGGGCAACGUACGAUGCUAAGUUGUACCGGUACGGUCGGACCAUAGGUCACGACAAAACUUCAGAUGCAAGUGAAUCAUGACAUGUAUAUGGCAUGCUGCAUUUAUCAAUAUACUUCACUUCCUUCAUAUACAAUACAAACCUAAAAUAAUACUUCGUUUACCUUCAGAUACAAUACAAACCUCAAAUAAUACUUCAUUCACCUUCAGGGGUGUUUAUUAAUCUCGUGGGUCAUACUCAAAUCAUCAUCAUCAUCAAUGAUGUUUAAGCAUCAGUAUAAUACAAUCAAGUAAAGCAUCACCAUAGAGUUCAAUUAUGAAAGAAUUCGAUGAUUCUGAAUAUUAGAGUGUAUGCGAUGAAACAACAAAGUCAAAACGGUAGCAACCACCUCUACAUUCACUUGCCUUCAUCGAAGAAGAAAAAGGUACUAGGCAUGAUUCGGAGUGUAGACACCUGCUGUGGGGCUUAAAACUUAGUACAAAUAUUCCAUAAACAUUUGCCAACAAUUAACAAAUCGCUCCUACACUUGAAACCAAGACCCGGUGGAAUGACUCCCACCCUGAACCACAUGCCAAACAACAAUAGUGUUGUUUGUUAAUUUCUAUCUUUAAAAUUAUAACAGUGGUGAUAUCAAACAAAUACUCUAUACGUUUCUACACAAAAUACUCUACAACUUCGGUAUUCAAUGGAUAAUUAAAUUUUGCCAUCUAUAAGUUCUAAAACAUCUGACAAGAUAACUGACUGAAUCUGUUUCAGACAACAGCAUAGUUAACUUCAAAAUUCGAUAUCUCCCUAACUCCUCAACAAAAAAUUAUGAAAUUAUGCUGACAGUAAGAACUUUUAUCCCUCUACAAAAGUCUCCAUAGUUGAAAGAGCCAAUUCGGCCAUUUACUAGAUGAAACCUACCAGUUAACGGACCCGCUCAUUUUUGUCAAGCAAACAAGAACCCUUAUAUAUCAAAGAGUAGUGGAUUUGAAUUUGUCUAAUAUGAAGUUUACGGGCUUGGCUCAUUUAAAGUAUUUAAUAAUUCUGAAAGACAAGAUUAAACUAACUAUGUAUGAUCCUUUAGCACCGUACAGAUGGUCGAUGGGACAGUUACAUGGUUUAUAUAGAUGGACCUAUCUAUAUUCCUUCAGUGGUUGAGAAAAAAGUAAAGGUGUGUCACACUCACGUGUGCGCCGCCUCCGCCGAGACGAGGCAUGGCGUUGCAAGGUGAGGCAUGGCAUGGUGUAGCACGAUAGCAGUCAUGGUCGUGGCACAGUGUAGCACUGUUGUGGAUAGAUAGGUAAACUAUUGUUGUAGUUAGAGUGCAUGAGUUUUUGAAUGCAACACUAGAAUUUUCACAAUUUAACUUAAUUAAGAAGUUAUAUCUUGAUGACACAGAGUUACCUGACCAUUGAUCUCACAUGCCCUUUUAGCUCUCUCGUUCUCUAGACUCACCCUGACUAUUUAAGUCUCUUGACUCGCCAAUAUAAACACCAUCCUAUCAUUUGCUCUAGAAUACUUCUGUGUCACAACUCAACUGUCAGAUGAGUACUCCAUUACAGCACUUACGUACACGAGUUCUAUGAGAGCAGGCCUCCAAAAUGAAUAUCUACUUAGAUGAAGGACGACAAUCGUGUUCUAGGGAAAUAUCAGCGACACAACUCCUUACUUCCUUCGCUUCUUCCUAGUGUUUUUUGUUGUGAUUGAGUCGACACAGCAACAACACUGCACUAUUACAACCAGUACGACUAUAUCAACUAGCAAUGUCUUCCUUAUAUGUUACUAUUUAUUUUGCACAUAUUCAUUAUGUUUAAAUCACAUAGGCACCUUUCUAUUGGCAUCAAAAAAUUAGUAUCAACUUUCUAGAUUAAAAUGAAACUAAAAGUACAUAAAUUUCUAUCGGUGGGGAUCGAGUGAUUCUUUAAACCGAUUAUUACACAAGUUAACCACACUAAAAUUAACAUUGGUGAAUCGUGCCAUGAUUUUUUUUCUAGUGGAAAAUAGCCAAACCAAGCAACACAUAUGUGGCUAUCGUUACACAUGUGUAAAGGUAUUGCAUCACACUAUUGUCACCCAUGUAUUUGGACAAUACCGAGAGGAAAAACCACUUAUUUAUUGUAUUUUAUCAAGUUUGUCUUGCUUACGUAUAAAAUUAUAACCCAACAAAGUAAUCACUAAACGUCAAAACCAACUAGAUAUCAUGUCAUCUCUACCUUAUCUUACUAAUAUUCUUUUUGCAAAAUCCAAAAUUAAUCUUGCACAAGCACAAGGACUGAGAUGUGUAUAAAUAUCUCUUAAAUUAGUAGCUAAUAUAUCGCACAUAUUAUUUAGACCAACUAGCAACAUAGAAAGCACAAUAGUGUACCAACAAUGGCAGCCAAAAUAUUUUGCCUCCUUAUGCUCCUUGGUAUUUCUGCAAGUGCUGCUACGGCGACCAUUUUCCCGCAAUGCUCACAAGCUCCUAUAGCUUCCCUUCUUCCCCCGUACCUCUCACCAGCGGUGUCUUCGGUAUGUGAAAACCCAAUUCUUCAACCCUACAGGAUCCAACAGGCAAUCGCAGCUGGCAUCUUACCUUUAUCACCCUUGUUCCUCCAACAAUCAUCAGCCCUAUUACAGCAGUUACCUUUGGUGCAUUUAUUGGCACAAAACAUCAGGGCACAACAACUACAACAACUUGUGCUAGCAAACCUUGCUGCCUACUCUCAGCAACAGCAGUUUCUUCCAUUCAACCAACUAGCUGCAUUGAACUCUGCUUCUUAUUUGCAACAACAACAACUACCAUUCAGCCAGCUACCUGUUGCCUACCCCCAGCAAUUUCUUCCAUUCAACCAACUGGCAGCAUUGAACUCUCCUGCUUAUUUACAGCAGCAACAACUACUACCAUUCAGCCAGCUAGCUGGUGUGAGCCCUGCUACCUUCUUGACACAACCACAGUUGUUGCCGUUCUACCAGCACGCUGCGCCUAACGCUGGCACCCUCUUACAACUGCAACAAUUGCUGCCAUUCAACCAACUUGCUUUGACAAACCUAGCAGUGUUCUACCAACAACCCAUCAUUGGUGGUGCCCUCUUUUAGAUUUCUUAUGAGUUAUAGUUCAAUAAUAAAGUUUUUUGUCUGAUGUUUGUGGCUUCCCAGAAAUAAGAAAGUACAUUUCUAGAUUCUUAUGUGCUUCUAGUCUCCAAAUGUGGUUGAUAGUUAUUUUGCUCUAAGAUCAGCAGUACAACAACAACAACAACAACAACAACAACAACAACAAAGCCUUUUUGUCCCAAGCACGUUGGGGUAGGCUAGAGAUGAAACCCCGUAUGAAAACCUCAGAGCUCAACCCCCAAAGAACAGAAAAGGGAAACAAAGGCAAAGGAGAACCGAAAACAACGAAACGGGGAAACACAUAAAAGAGAUAAAACCCACAAGGACCAGCAAGAUCUAAAAUGGACACAAGAAAAGGUCAAACGAUUAAGGAGGAAAAGCGAAACUAUCAAUCAGGGUUCUGGCACGUGAAUUGCACACUUCCACCCCUUCCUAUCUGCGGCGAGCUCUUUGUCAAUAUUCCACUCCUUCAGGUCUCUCUUCACAGCCUCUGUCCACGUCAAAGUUGGUCGACCUCUACCUCUCUUCACAUUUUCGGGACGCCUAAUUAUUCCGAUAUGCACUGGUGCCUCUUCAGGUCUUCGUUGGAUAUGUCCAAACCAUCUCAAGCGAUGUUGCAUAAGCUUCUCCUCAAUUGGCGCCACUCCUACUCUCUCUCGUAUAUCAUCAUUCCGGACUCGAUCUCUCCUUGUGUGGCCACAUAUCCAGCGCAACAUACGCAUCUCUGCCACACUUAGUUGUUGGACAUGUCGUCUUUUAGUGGGCCAACAUUCUGCUCCAUACAACAUAGCCGGCCGGAUUGCUGUCCUGUAGAAUUUGCCUUUUAGUUUGCGUGGCACCCGGUGGUCGCAUAAGACACCCGCAGCUUGUCGCCACUUCAACCAUCCGGCUUUAAUUCUAUGACUGACAUCCUCAUCGAUGUCUCCCUCCUUUUGAAGCAUUGAUCCUAAGUAACGAAAAGUGUCUUUCUUGGGUACCACUUGCCCAUCAAGACUAACAUCGCCAUCCUCAUACCCCAUGGCACUGAAAUCACACUUCAUAUACUCUGUUUUAGACCUACUAAGCCUAAAACCUUUUGCUUCCAGCGUCUGCCUCCACAAUUCCAACUUUUGAGAAACACCACUCCUACUCUCCUCAAUAAGUACCACAUCAUCGGCAAAAAGCAUACACCACGGUAAAACUCCUUGUAUGUCCCUUGUGACCUCAUCUAUCACCAAAGCGAAAAGAUAAGGGCUCAAAGCCGACCCUUGAUGUAGUCCUAUGUUAAUUGGAAAGUCAUCGGUGUCUCCAUCACUUGUUCGGACACUUGUCACAACAUUAGUGUACAUAUCUUUAAUAAGAUUAAUGUACUUUGUUGCUACUUUGUGUUUUUCCAAGGCCCACCACAUUACACUCCUAGGUACUUUGUCAUAAGCCUUCUCCAAGUCUAUGAAGACCAUAUGCAGGUCUUUCUUUUGUUCUCUGAAUCUCUCCAUAAGUUGUCUUAGUAAGAAAAUGGCCUCCAUAGUUGAUCUCCCGGGCAUGAAACCAAACUGAUUUUGGGUCACGCUCGUCAUCUUUCGCAGGCGGUGUUCAAUGACUCUCUCCCAUAGCUUCAUUGUAUGGCUCAUGAGCUUAAUUCCACGGUAAUUAGUACAACUUUGAACAUCUCCUUUGUUCUUGAAGAUUGGUACUAAUGUACUCCGCCGCCACUCGUCGGGCAUUCUGUUUGCCCGAAAGAUGGUGUUGAAAAGCUUAGUCAGCCAUACUAUCGCUAUGUCUCCAAGACAUCUCCAUACCUCGAUAGGGAUACCAUCAGGGCCCAUCGCCUUUCCUACCUUCAUCCUUUUUAGCGCCUCCUUAACUUCAUAUUCUUGUAUCCUUCGUACAAAACCCCUGUUGUUGUCAUCGAAUGGUUCGUCCAAUUCUAUUGUAGCACUCUCAUUCCCUCCAUUGAACAAUUUGUUGAAGUACUCCUUCCAUCUGUUCUUGAUCUCUUCACUCUUCACUAAUAGUUGGUUUGCUUCGUCCUUGAUGCAUUUGACUUGGUUGACAUCCCUUGUCUUCCUUUCACGAAUCUUGGCCAUCCUAUAGAUAUCCUUUUCUCCCUGCUUUGUGUCCAGCCGUUGAUAAAGGUCGUCAUAGGCUUGACCCCGGGCUCUACUAACCGCUCGCUUUGCAGACUUCUUCGCUAUCCUGUACUUCUCUAUGUUUUCUGCACACUUGUCAUGAUGUAAGCGUUUGUAGCAAUCUUUCUUCUCCUUGAUAGCCUUUUGGACAUCUUCGUUCCACCACCAAGUGUCUUUAACUUCCCUUCUGUUCCCUUGACUCAACCCAAACUCUUCUGAAGCUAUCUUUCGGAUGCAUGUCGCCAUCUUCCUCCACAUGAUAUUUGCGUCUUCCUCUCCUGCCCAAGGGCCCUCCUCGAUAACUCUCUUCUUGAAAGUUUGGGCCACAUCCCCUUUAAGCUUCCACCACUUUGUUCUAGUGACCUUGUUAUGCUUAUUUCGUUGUAAACGAAUCUUAAAACGGAAGUCAGCAACGACAAGCUUAUGUUGGGUUACCACACACUCUCCAGGUAUAACCUUGCAAUCUAAGCAGGCAUGCCUGUCCUCUUUUCUCAAGAGGACGAAAUCAAUCUGGCUAGUGUGUUGGCCACUACUGAAGGUCACCAGGUGGGAUUGCCUCUUCUUAAAGAAAGUGUUUGCUAUAAACAUGUCAUAGGCUAGGGCAAAGUUCAGGAUUUCCUCUCCUUCUUGAUUCCUAGUCCCAAAGCCGAAGCCUCCAUGUACACCCUCGAAACUGGUGCUAGAUGUACCCACAUGGCCAUUGAGAUCUCCUCCUAUGAAGAGCUUCUCGCCAACUGGCACACUACUAACCAUGUCCUCUAGGCCUUCCCAGAACUCUCUCUUUGAGUUCUCAUUAAGGCCUACUUGAGGAGCAUACGCGCUGAUAACAUUGAGAACCAAGUCUCCAAUGACCAGCUUGACUAGGAUGAUUCUAUCUCCUACCCUCUUAACAUCUACUACCCCAUCUUUGAGGCUCUUGUCGAUCAAGACGCCUACUCCAUUCUUGUUUGUUGCAGUCCCCGUGUACCACAACUUGAAACCUGUACCUUUCACUUCCUUCGCCUUCUGUCCCUUCCACUUGGUCUCUUGAACGCAUAAAAUAUUUACCCGUCUCCUCACCGCAACGUCAACUAUUUCUCGUAACUUACCUGUUAAGGAACCUACGUUCCAACUGCCUACACGGACCCUAGUUGGCUCGACUAGCUUCCUUACCCUUCGCACCCGCCGAGGAAGAUGCAAAGACCCUUGCUCAUUUUUCACUACACCCGGGCGCCGAUGUAGCGCGCCACUAAGGAUGCGACGACCCGAUCCUUGCUCACUUAUCACCGGCUCCAGAUCAAGAGACAGCGCGUCACUUGAGGGGUGACGACCCGGCCCUUGCUCAUUUAACACCAUACCCGGGUUCCGAUAUGGCGCGUCGCUAAGAGGGUUACGCCCCAACGGUUUUCUUUGUGGUUUCAUCUCCAUAAGAUUUGGCUGGUUUUUUACGUUGGUUUGCCGGACCUAACACAACCCUCCUCCUUUACCGGGCUUGGGACCGGCUAUGUUGAAACGACUCAAGGAAGUCUUCCAAUCAACAUAGGCGGAGUUUAAGAUCAGCAGUAAUGAAGUAUAAAUCAUCGUUGUGGUGUGCUACUCGGUUAAUUGAGCAUUAACACACACAAACAUGACGAGGAUGGUAUAAUCUCCCAAAAUGUGUACUUUGUUAGGUGGGACCCUAUAGCCUUGCAGAAUGUGCUACGUUAGGCAUGCCGAUGGAAACGUGUGACGCAUACGUUUUGUGAACCUGUUGAUAUUAUAUGUGCUUUUAUAUUACCAUAUUUUAUUAAAACACUAAUAUUUAUUACUAGUAAGAUAUAACAUUCUAUCUAGCUUAAAAACUAACCAUAAAUAUUCCAUAAUAACUAGAUUUACCAAACUAAUAUACUAAAUAUACAUAAUAAAUACAAAAUUAACAAGACAAUAAUCAAUAUUUAUGAGCUUAAUAUAUUUAGACAUUAUGGUUGGUCGACGAUAAUCAUGCUAACUUUCCGUAAUUGCUUGAUUGUAAAUAUGCUUAGACUAAUGCCUCUUUGUUCUACAUGGCAAAUAGGGACCACUCUAGGAGACUAGGAUGUUGCUUGAGAUGAAAAUGUCAGAAUUGGUGUAGACUAAUUUCUAUCGGCCGCUGACUUCACUAUUGUAACCAUUAUAUCUUGGGUAAAUUAUAUACGAUUAUCCAGCCAAAGGGCCCAGAUGAUAAAAAACAAUUUUUAAUUGCUAUUUUAGGACAAAUGAAUUAGCAUGGUUCGAAGGAUUACGACCUUCCCCCCAUGACCUUUGUCAUACUGCUUUAGUCUAAUCGACAAAACCAAGAUUAGUUAUCAUCGAAGAAGUUCAUAAGCGAAGUUGUGACGAUGAAAGGAACAUGGUGGUAAUUGGACGAACGACGACACCUUUGUCUAAGAAUGGCAUCUAGAAGAAAUCUCAGACAAAAUAAGACAUGAAUGGCUUGUCAGUACAGCGCAAAUACUGAAACAUGCGCCCUUGAAUAUGAAACAUUUAUAUGUAAGAGGAAGGGAUAAAAAAACUAAUUACUCGUGCCUAAUGAUUUUAUUGGGAAUUUUAAGGCGAGACUUAUGGCAAAGGGUUAUACCAAAAAUAGGGGAGAGAUUAUUUCGAUACUUAUUCACUUGUUUCCCUUCAAAUGGCCAUACAUGUGUUACUUUUUUUGGCUGCCUCGCAUGGUCUUAUCGUUCAUCAGAUGAAUGUUAAGACUGCUUUCCCAAAUGGAGAGCUUAAGGAACAGAUCUACAUUGACUAGCCUAGUGGUUUUAUAUCAAAUGGUAAAGAGGAAAAGGUGUUUAAAAUAAUUGUUUGGUUUAAAACAAGCACCAAAGCACAUGAGAAAAUCGAUAAAGUUCUGACUUUGGCUAAAUUUGUUGUAAAUGAAGUUGAUAAAUGUGUCCAUUACCAGUUUGACAGGGGCGAAGGUAUGACCUUUUUAUAUGUGGACAAAAUAUUAACCUUUUGUAACGAUGUUAAUAUGAUAGAAGAAGUAAAGUAAUUUUUGUCUAGUAACUUAGAAAUAAACAAUCUGGGAGAGGCUAAUGUUGUUCUUAACAAAGAGAUGUUGAGAGAAGGAGGAAAUAGAGGGUUACUCUUGUGCAAUCCUAUUAGGUUGAAAAGUCGCUGAGUCGCUUUGGAUAUAGUGAUUACACGUCUGGUCCAACAACUUAUGACCCAAGUGUGUUAUUAAGGAAAAAUCAUAUAAUUGCAUAUGAUCAAUUGAGAUAUUGUCAAAUCAUGGUCUUCUCAUAUAUUUGGCAAGCCCAACGAUGUCUCAUAUCUGAUUUGUUAUGAGCAAACUCAGUUGCCUUGUCUCCAAUCUAGGGGAGGAUCAUGACAUGCCCUAGAGAGGGUAUUGCGCUUUCUCAAAGGGAUAUGAGUAAUGUCAUUUACUAUACUAGGCACCUAAGAGUACCAGAGUGUUAUAGUCAUGCAAAUAGGAUAUCUGAUGUUGAUUAGAUUUAUGCCACAAGUAGACUUGUGUGCUUCCUUGGAGGUGUGAUUGUUUCAUGGAAGUCUUGUAAGUAGACCAUCUUAACAAGGUCAACAAUAGAAGUAGAACUCACAACAUUAUAUACUACCAAAGUUGAAGUUGAUUGGCUCCGUGAACUCCUUACGGAUUUACCAGUAGUUGAAAAACCAAUACUGGUUAUCUCUAUGAGCUACAAUAAUCAAACAUUUGUAAUCGAAGUAAACAGUUCUAAAGUUAACAUGAUGUCUACAAAGCAUGUAAAAAUGGUUGAAACUGUUAAAACACUAAGAAACUCUAGAUUAAUUAUGUUGGACUAUAUCCAUACAUCGAAUUUGGUAUGCCAGUUUACAGAAGAUUUGUCACAUAAUAUGAUUCAAGGUGCAUCGAGGAAUAUGGGCUUGAGACCCACUUAAUGUCAAUCCAUAGUGGUAGCAGUUUCUAUGUGAUUGGAGAUCCCAUAAAGUAGAAUGGUGAAACAAGCUAGAGAAUGACUGAUGGAGAGACUCCUUAAAUAAAAUCUUGAUAAUUUGAGAUGCACAUUUCUCAUUUGAUGUAUUGUAGGCGAACUAAAAUCUUAAUAUGAUUUGAGUGACUUAUCUAAGCAGGGAUGUUAUCUUACAGAACAUCCUAGAAAGAACACACCUAUAUGAGUUUGCAUGUUAGUCAUAGUCUAUCAUGUGUGGUAAUCUUUAUAUACUCAUGAAAGGCUUGAAGUUUGACUUAUAUGCUUCAAACCAAGGGGGUGCUUGUAACAGUCUAGUACAAGAUAAGAACAUUGGUAAAACUCACUUAACGCAAAAUUGUCAAUUUAAGGCAUAGUUCAUUGUUUAGAUGUGAAUGUGUAAUCCCUGUUCUAGAUGGAUGGUCAACUUAACAGCCUCCACCAAAACCCUGAUAUCUCAAAGAGUAGUGGAUUUGAGUUUGUCUAAUAUGUGGUUUAGAUUUUGGUGGGGAAUUUUAAUAUUUUAUGGGCUUGGCCCAUUUAAGGUAUUUAAUACUUUCAAAAGACAAGAUUAAACAUGUGUGAAUAGUGUCAUGAUUUUUUUCUAGUGCAAAAUAGCCCAACAAAUCAACACAUAUGUGGCUAUCAUUACACAUGUGUAAAGGUAAUGCAUCACACCAUUGUCACCCAUGUAUUUAGAAAAUACCAAGAAGAAAAACAACUUGUUUAUUGUAUUUUAUGGAGAUUAUCUUGCUUACAUAUAAUUAUAACCCAACAAAGUGGUCACUAAAUGUCAAAACCAACUAGGUACCAGGUCAUCUCUAGCUUAUCUUGCUAAUGAUAUUUUUGCAAAAUCCAAAAUUAAUCUUGCACAAGCACAAGGACUGAGAUGUGUAUAAAAAUCUCUUAGAUUAGUAGGUAAUCCAUCACACAAAGCGCAAUAGUGUAGCAAAACUGGCAGUCAAAAUAUUUUGCCUCCUUAUGCUCCUUGCUCUUUCUGCAAGUGCUGCUAACGCGACCAAUUUUCUGCAAUGCUCACAAGAUCCAAUUGCUUCCCUUCUUCCCUCAUACCUCUCACCAGCGACAUCUUCAGUAUGUGAAAACCCAAUUCUUCAACCCUAUAGGAUCCAACAGGCAAUCACAGCAAGCAUCUUACCUUUAUCACCCUUGUUCCUCCAACAACCGCCAGCCCUGUUACAACAAUUACCUUUGGUGCAUUUGUUGGAACAAAGCAUCAAGGCACAACAACUACAACAACCUGUGCUGACAAACCUUGUUGCCUACUCUCAGCAACAAUAGUUUCUUCCAUUCAACCAACUGGCUGCACUGAACUCUGCUGCUUAUUUGCAACAACAACAACAACUUCCAUUCACCCAGCUAGCUGCUGCCUACCCCCAACAAUUUCUUCCAUUCGACUAACUGGCUGCAUUGAACUCUGUUGCUUAUUUACAACAGCAACAACUAAUACCAUGAAACCAGCUAGCUGUUGCGAGCCCUGCUACCUUCUUGACACAACCACAGUUGAUGUCGUUCUACCUGCAAGCUGUGGCUAACGUCGGCACCCUCUUACAACUACAACAAUUGUUGCCAUUCAUCCAACUUGCUUUGACAAAC
rnacentral:lncRNA from 1 species